rnacentral:rRNA from 1 species
UACGUAGGUGGCAAGCGAUACUCGGAAUCACUAGGCGUAAAGCGCAGGUAGGUGGUUUGGUAAGUCUUUUGUGAAAGCUCCCGGCUCAACUGGGAGAGGUCAAAGGAAACUGCCGGACUAGAGUUUGGUAGGGGAUACUGGAAUUCCUGGUGUAGCGGUGAAAUGCGUAGAUAUCAGGAGGAAUACCUAUGGCGAAAGCAGGUAUCUGGGCCACAACUGACACUGAGCUGCGAAAGCUAGGGGAGCAAACAGG